UACGUAGGGGGCAAGCGUUGUCCGGAAUUAUUGGGCGUAAAGAGCGCGUAGGCGGUCCGAUAAGUCGGCUGUGAAAGUCAGGGGCUCAACCCUUGGAAGCCGGCCGAUACUGUCGGACUAGAGUCCGGAAGAGGCGAGUGGAAUUCCCGGUGUAGCGGUGAAAUGCGCAGAUAUCGGGAGGAACACCAAUGGCGAAGGCAGCUCGCUGGGACGGUACUGACGCUGAGACGCGAAAGCGUGGGGAGGCAAACAGG
rnacentral:rRNA from 1 species